GCCACUUUGGCUCAGUGGAUAGAGCAUUGGCCUGCAGGCCAAGGGUCCUGGGUUCGAUUCCAGUCAAGGGCA
rnacentral:tRNA from 1 species